CUUGUUUUUAGACAUUUAAAUUAUUUACACAUGUUAUUACAUUUAUUUUCAAUAUAAAGGACUUCUCACAUUUGGUGUAUCAAAUGAUAAUCAUUGGAUCACCUGCCAACUUAAAGAAUCAUGAUUAUUUUCUUUUUAUGGUAUGUGGCCAUUGCAUACAGCUUCUACAGAGAUAAUUAUGAAUCGGAAUCUGGCAACAGCUUUGAAAAACCUAAAAAGAGUAAUUCAAAGAAGUCAUUAAAUAUGACGACGUUUUCGGCUCCCACGGAAAGUGAUCCACCAAUAUUGGAUGCUGUAGAAGAACCAGUAAUUGAAACUAUAGCAUCGGUAAUAGAAAUAGAACCUAUUGAACCACCAAAGCAACAAGAACCUUCAGUGAUGGAAUUUAUUCAAGACGAGAUUUCGGAACAAUUUUCAAACGAAGAACUUUAAAUUCAUUAUAAUGUACAAUUUUUAUAUUUGUUGUUUCUAAAUACAUUGUUUGGUUA